AGCAAAUGUGUGUUUAAGAAUUUGUAAAGCAGUUUCACUUCGCCCAAGGAUCAAACAAACAUUAACCGGCAGUUAGGGGGAAUGAAGCUAAAACUUCGAGCCUCAAAUCGAUCGGAAAUACCCACGAAAUAGUAUAAGUUGGCAACCAGAUGGAUCUGCAGAAAACCGCAUUUGUCACAUAACAUUGAUCAUGUACGUGCCCCAAUUUGCAUUCACAUAACAUUCAAUGCGCAUUCUCCGUGACAAGUUUUUCAAUGGAGAACAAUGCCCAAAUAACGUUUUAAAUCAAAGGUUUGAGCAGUGCAUUUCACCAUUUUAAUUCCGCGCUGAUAUAAAAUAAAUAUCGUAAAGCGGAUAUGGAGGCGAAAGGUUAUGGGCGUCACAACCGGAUAUCACACAGUGUCUAAUCGUCAAUCUUGUGAGUGACUUUCCAAAAGAGAUAGCCGCUCGUUUUAUUUGCAAAUUAUUAGAGCGCAACAAGGAAUAAUAACAAACAUACUGCUUUUAACGAGUCGAGUUAAAAAUUGGUGUCAGGUUUCUUUUCAAAUGACUGCAACUCAACACCAUUGUGAAGCGGUUUGAAAUUUUCUCUCUUUUUUUUAUCAAAAGGGCAGCGAACCGGAAGCUUCGAUGACCGGUGUUUGACAUAAAAAAUUAUCGUUGCGAGUCGUGAAGUUGACACCGAAUCUCAACAAAAAAAAAACAUACCUGCCAGAGUUAACAUCAAAGCUAUUUUUUGAAGAUAUGAAUCUGCUAGAGCCGGUAAUUAAGAACAGAAAACACGCUAGAGGAACGUAAGCGACACGCAAGCCGAUAUGCCUUAACAUUAUACAGCCACUCUGAACACAUUGCGAUAAAGUAGUGGGUGAUCAUAUGUGUCUAGUCCUGUCUAAGUUUGACUUAUAUUACCAAAGUAACAGAUUUCGAGGCCUGUGAACGAACUCGAAAAAGUGUGUCAACACGACAGUUCGAAAAUCCUGCGUCACGGAAAUGAAUACUGAACCGAUUUACUUGGUAUAUCGUGCUUGUUUAAAUCACCGCUCAGAUUUUAGUAUCGAAAUCACGAAUCCAGUGUGUUGUCACGAAUUUUAUUGUGCGACCCCCAAGAGAGAUUCAGACAAUUCUCUCUAGCAUCCGUUCGAGACAUGAUGUUUUGGCAUGUUUGUAGAGAUUUUUUAAAUAAAAUUUGAGACCCGAGCGGUCUGUAAAGUGUAAAGACCGCCGCAUUGCGAUUUUCUUAUUCAAGAAUUUUGAUUUCGCCUCAGGCGAAAAGCGGGUUGAUUAUAGAACAAUAUUUUGUCUCUGAUUUUGUCUAAAGCUGAUUUCACGGACAAAUAGCUCAUUUUGGCAUGUGGGUUAAUAAGAGGCGUUUCUUAAAUUAAUAUGUCCCUUUACCUAACAUGCUUUGUUGAGUGACUCCUAAAGGCCGACACUGGAUUAUUCGGAUAUAUCGCUGUUGAAGUUGGAGACUGGACUGAAAUCGGUUGCACCGCGGGUCAGAUCAGUAAACAUUUGGUCCCUCAGACAGCAGGGAUUUACGCGAAAAGGUUAAACAAUAACAGAUCAACGCAGAAACAUAACCAGUCGAGUAAACAUGGAUGAGUUUGUUUUUGGAGUCGAAUUCUUUACUUCUCCGUCUUAAAUUUUUUCUGCAAAGAUCGUGGGACGAUUCGUGCAGAUCGGGCCAUGUCUAGCUAUGCUUGGGUGUAAGUUGACCUGGCAAUUUGAAUGGCGGACAGCUAUGAUCUCUUAACUGCGGGAGCUCCAUAGAAAAUCUUGCCAUUCGUUAACUAAAUGAGAUACGUUUGGAAAAUCGAGAUAAAAGACGACAUUGAAAUAUUGCACUUGAGUGCGUUUGAAUGGAGUGUUUUAAACGAUCUGCCAGUUUGUUAAGACCCCUUGCGUACUCACGUUAUCAAAAAAUCUGGUCGGCAUGCAGGCCUUAUACAAUUACUUGCAAAUCACGAGGUUUUCUUCAGAUGAGACCUAACAUAUUUCAAAUUUAUUAAGGCUGCUGCUUUCCAAAUUUCAUCGAUGCUAAAGUGAUUGGCGCAAUAUUGAACACCAUGUUGAAAUUAAUCUGAAGUUUUGUUACACUAUUUAGAUUGGCGCGUUCACCAUCAAAUCUUUUAUAGAUCUUCGGCAAUCAAAAUAGUUUUAAAUUAAUCAGUUUAGUUGUUCCCUUAACAUGUUGGUUUUCGUAUGUGAUUAAAAAUUAGUUUGAUGCUUGAUGGCGGGUCGCGAGACCUCUGCUUAAUUGAAUUCGAAAUUUUAAAUGUAAUCUAUCAUAUGAUCAAUUAGGGCUAUCAAUCUCGUGAAAUGUUUUAAGCCUAAUCACGUUCGGCCACAAUUGUGGCAGACGACACGCCAUCGAAUCACGAAAUUAAGAUAUUUUUAGUCACUAAUUUUCUCACUCAGUAACUCUGUCGAGACAUCUGCAUGGUAAGUUGUAAAAUACGAAAUUCCUUUUAGAAAUUUUUAACUGUACCUCACCGAAUUAUUAAAAUAAGAAGAGCUGAAUUUUUUUUCUUGAUGGCGAAAUAAGCGAUUAUCGUCUAAUCAUGAAAAAAUUCCUUUAGUGGCAAACCAUUCAUACUUUGUGCGACGGUAAGGAGAAUAUUGCUUUUGAGAUGUGAGUUAUCUUAGAUCGCAGACAGAAAAGUAUUUUAAUCUUCAUUUGUAUUCUCAUAAGUCAGUUCAAUUUUUUUUCGGAAUAUUUGACAAGAAGCUAGGAAAGAAUCCAGCACUUCUUUGCAAAGUGUGCAGCUAGAUUGUUCUAUGAAAGUGGAUCUCUUUAAGAACCUGUUGAGUAAGCACUUUGACACAUGUUAAAACGCUCGACCAAUAUUCACAGGAACAAGCUACACGGAACUUCAAUACUCUAUAAAUACGAACGAUCCAGUCAAGAAAUAUUGUCAACGUUUGCUACCUGGACCUAAACAUCUCAGCUAAUUUCAGUGCUGCAAGGUCACAUAACCUGAAUGGAUCCUGUUAGACAAAGAGCAAGUCACGCCAAUCACAUCGAUCCGGCAACGAAAUAAUAUUGGGCUAAACAUUCUUUAGAUCAAGCCAUUUUAGGUAAUGUUGA
rnacentral:lncRNA from 1 species